rnacentral:rRNA from 1 species
UACAGAGGUCCCAAGCGUUGUUCGGAUUCACUGGGCGUAAAGGGUGCGUAGGCGGUCGGGUAAGUCUGAUGUGAAAUCUCACAGCUUAACUGUGAAACUGCAUUGGAUACUAUUCGGCUUGAGAGUUGGAGGGGGGACUGGAAUUCUUGGUGUAGCAGUGAAAUGCGUUGAUAUCGUUCGGAACACCAAUAGCGAAGGCAGGCUUCUGGGUGCCACCUGACACUGCUAGGACGAAAGCGUGGGGAGCGAAUGGG